rnacentral:rRNA from 2 species
GUCCAGGAAAUGAAUAUUAGUUCAGCUUUAAAAAUACCAAUAAUAUAAACAAAUAUACUGUAUUUUUAAAAGUUAGUCUAAAAGGGUACAGCCUUUUAGAAACGGAUACAACCUUGACUAGAGAGUAAAACUUGACAAUACCAUAGUAGGCCCAAAAGCAGCCACCAAUUAAGAAAGCGUUAAAGCUCAACAAUAAAACUAUCUUAAUCCCAAUAACAAAUAAUCAACUCCUAGCCUUAAUACUGGACUAAUCUAUAAAAAUAGAAGCAAUAAUGUUAAUAUGAGUAACAAGAAGUAUCUUCUCCCCGCACGAGUUUAAGUCAGUACCUGAUAAUAUUCUGACCAUUAACAGCAAAAUAAGAAUAACCUAACUAUAAAUAACUUACUUAUUACACUGUUAAUCCAACACAGGAGUGCACUUAAGGAAAGAUUAAAAGAAGUAAAAGGAACUCGGCAAACACUAAACCCCGCCUGUUUACCAAAAACAUCACCUCCAGCAUAACUAGUAUUGGAGGCAUUGCCUGCCCAGUGACAACCGUUAAACGGCCGCGGUAUCCUGACCGUGCAAAGGUAGCAUAAUCAUUUGUUCUCUAAAUAAGGACUUGUAUGAAUGGCCAAACGAGGGUUUUACUGUCUCUUACUUCCAAUCAGUGAAAUUGACCUUCCCGUGAAGAGGCGGGAAUACCAUAAUAAGACGAGAAGACCCUAUGGAGCUUUAACUACUUAGUCCAAAGAAAUAAAUUUAUUAACCAAGGAAACAACAAUACUCUUUAUGGACUAACAGCUUUGGUUGGGGUGACCUCGGAGAACAGAAAAUCCUCCGAGCGAUUUUAAAGACUAGACUCACAAGUCAAAUCACACAAUCGCUUAUUGAUCCAAAAAAUUGAUCAACGGAACAAGUUACCCUAGGGAUAACAGCGCAAUCCUAUUCAAGAGUUCAUAUCGACAAUAGGGUUUACGACCUCGAUGUUGGAUCAGGACACCCCGAUGGUGCAACCGCUAUCAAAGGUUCGUUUGUUCAACGAUUAAAG